rnacentral:rRNA from 1 species
CCAGAGACGCAAACGUUAAUCAUCUUAAUCAGGCGUAAAGGGUUUGUAGGCAGCUUUAAAAAACUAAAUUAUAAUGGCUAAAGUAAAUUUAGUGAAAAUUAAAGCUAGAAUCUAAUAGAGGUUAUAUUGAAUAAUACUUAGAGUAGGGGUUAAAUCCUUAGAUACUAAGGGGAAUUCUUAGGGCGAAAGCAUUUUUCCACUAAAGAUUGACGCUGAGAAACGAAGGUGAGGAUAGGAAAUAGGAUUAGAUACCCCGGUACCCCUCUCUGUCAACGAUGAAUGGUAAUUACUAGUAUUAAUUACUAGAGGUAAAGCUAACGCGUUAACCAUUCCGCCUUGUGAGUACGACUGCAAAGUUGAAAACAAAAAAAUUA